AUCGAACGCUGGCGGCAGGCUUAACACAUGCAAGUCGAACGGCCACUCCGGUGAGAUUGCCAGACGGGUGAGUAACACGUGAGAACGUACCUUUCUGUUCGGACGUAUCCAGUAAUACUUGGACUAAUAUCGGAUACGCCCUUCGUGGGAAAGAUUCAUCGCCGAUAGAUCGGCCGGCGUCUGAUUCGCUAGUUGGUUAGGUAAUGGCUCACCAAGGCGACGAUCAGUAGCUGGUCUGAGAGGAUGAUCAGCCACAUUGGGACUGAGACACGGUCCAAACUCCUACGGGAGGCAGCAGUGGGGAAUAUUGGACAAUGGGGGCAAGCAUGAUCGAGCCAUGCCGCGUGAGUAAUGAAGGCAUUAGGGUUGUAAAGCUCUUUUGUCCGGGAAGAUAAUGACUGUACCGGAAGAAUAAGCACCGGCUAACUUCGUG
rnacentral:rRNA from 1 species